UACGUAGGGUCCGAGCGUUGUCCGGAAUUACUGGGCGUAAAGAGCUCGUAGGUGGUUUGUCGCGUUGUUCGUGAAAACUCACAGCUUAACUGUGGGCGUGCGGGCGAUACGGGCAGACUUGAGUACUGCAGGGGAGACUGGAAUUCCUGGUGUAGCGGUGGAAUGCGCAGAUAUCAGGAGGAACACCGGUGGCGAAGGCGGCUACCUGGACAGAAACUGACGCUGAGGCGCGAAAGCUAGGGGAGCAAACAGG
rnacentral:rRNA from 1 species